UGAUGCCCUUUUUGUACCACAUAAAUUAAAUUGUAAUGAUAGUAAGAUUAGAAUGGCCCCUGCAUAAGGAUAACACAGAGAUUGUGCAGCAUUCUAUAUGUUU